rnacentral:lncRNA from 1 species
AUCAAUUUGUACAUAUAUCCUAUUCAUUAUAUUUUGGUAUCAAUUUCCAAGUAGAUGAUUUAAUUUGUUGAUAUAACUAAACGAUUCAUUUCAAUUUUUGCAGUCUUGGGAUGAUAUUGCUAUUGAAUGGAAACGUGUUCAUUCAACAACAAGUCGAGGGUGGAGAAAAGUUAACAGGGUUAUGUGUAUUUUAUAAUUCUUAAAUCGUAUUCAAGUAAUCACGUGUCAAUUGUUUCGUUCUUCCGAUACUACUAACAUUUUGCUUUCUCUUAUAAAUAACAGAUUUUUGUUACAAACAAUAUUUGUUGGCCGUGGACGUUGCCGAUGGAUAGCCUUUCUUUUCAAAGGUUUAUGUAUCGAAGACAUGGUAGAGCUUGACAGAUUUACAAGGUAAAUGUUAUUAUAUGUAUUUUCGGGUAUAUAUUGAAGUAUACUUGGUGUAAGCUGUAAAAAAUAUAUUUGGUGUAAGAUGUAAAGUAAAGGGUGGUGCUCAACAUGUUGUUUCUCUAUUUUCUGCAUAUAUGUAUUUUUGUUCUCCGUCUUUUGUAAAGUUGGGUAAUUAUACAUGGUUAUAAUGAUUUCGAGUAUGGAAUGAUGUUUUUUUUGGUGGUUUGGAUAUGUAUGGAUGAUUGUAAGCUUUUUUAAACAGGUUUAGAUUUUUGGAUAUCUAUUUUUAAAGGAAACUCUGCCGAAAUUUCUUGAAAUUAGUAGCUACUAGCUUGAUAUUUUGGUGGUUGGAUGUGUUGAUUAUUGAAUAUGUAUAGAUUUCUGCAUGGUAUGAUGAUUUUGGGUAUUAAAUGAUGGUUUUCUUUUGGUGGUUUGGAUUUGUAUGGAUGAUUAUAAGUUUUAUAGACAGGUUUAGAUUUGUCUGGAUAUCUAUUUUUAAACGAAGUUCUGUCAAAUUUUUUUAAAAUCAGUAGCGACUACCUUGCCCAAAUUGAAGAUGGCCCAGAUGAUUUUUUUGGGUAUAUGUUUAACCAAAUUUACCUUUUUUUUGCGGUUGGGUCAAUUAUUUUUGAAUUUCUUAUUUUAUUUUAAUUUUUAUUUAAUCAGGCAAAGGAGCUCCAAACCAAUUUGGUUCACAUGAACCUUUUAAGC